CCAAACUCACUGGAAAGACGUUUUUUGCCUUCCAUGGGCACAUUCUAAGUGUGCCUGCCCUCACUGGGAGAACUGAGGCCCACAAGGAAUAUGACUUUCAGAUUUCAAAACUGAAUCAACAGCCAGGCGAAUCACCCACUGGGAAAGAGGCAGCACUGAAGGGACCCUCAGUUAGGCUCCUACGAUUGUCAUCUCUUUACAGUUUCUGAUUCAUAGCAAGAGCCUGUCAUUCACGCUCAUCUACGACUUUCUAAUCCCACCCCUGGAUGCCAACUCCAGCACUCACUCCCUGAAUCAUAUUUUUAAAAAUCUGAGUGCAUUCCUUGUAGCAUUUCAUUAUUCUUUACUCAGUACCCCCUUCCCCCCUUUUUAUUUUUCUUCCGUGUCCUGAUCAUUUCAGGGGCUCUUGCUGUCUUUUCAGGGAGUCUCUGGCAUGGUGGUGAAGGCGAGGAUGUAAUGACUUCACUAGACCCAAGAUAAAUGAUAAAUGGGUGUUUAUUGGGAACACUUACAAAGAAAAAUACAAAGAAUCCUGGGAGCCUUUCUAUACCCUUCCUAUCAGAUCCGCGGACCCACCAGAAAAGAGCUGGCAAACCGAAGCCACACCUCAAGCUUUCCUCUUUCCGCUUCCGUCCGCCUGAAGCCACACCCAAAGGGGUGUGGCCACCGUUACAGACCGAGGCAUUUCACUGUAUGUUCUCUAGACUGAAUCGUCCAGAUGGUAGCUACUCAUUCAGAUAGUGUGAGUGGCAUGUGGAGAAAGCUCGACUCUGGCUGUGUUUUGCUUAGAGAUGGGGCUUUCUAAGACCUGGGUUGUUGGAUGAUUCUGCCACCGUGGGAACAUUACUGAGUGGAUUUGUAAAGAUCCCAAAGGUGGGCAUCCAACUGCUUCAGCGCCAUUUGCUAAAAAGAGUGUCUUUCCUCCAUUGAAUGGCUUUUGCACCUUUGUCAAAAGUCAAUUGCACAAGCUUGUGGGAGUCUAUUUUGGGCUCUCUGUUCUGAUCCAUUGAUCCAUGUGUCUAGGAAUGGACAUCUUUGCCUCCUUGCUGAUCUUAGCAGGAAAGUAUUCAGGUCUCACAAUCAAGCACAACAUUAGCUGAAUGCUUUUGAUGGACGAUCUCUAUCAAGUUGAAGAAAUCUCUCUCCAUUUCUAGUUAUCGUUAGAGACUCCUUUUGAAAACCAAGAAUCAGUCCCCAUUCCCACCAAGUGCUUUUCUACAUCAGUUGUAGUUUUUCCUUUCAUCUAAUUUUUUCUUCUUUGAACUGUUAAUACAGUUGAUAAUAUAGUCAGCCCUUUUUCUCUUGAAUAAACAAGUCAAUUUACUCAUGACAUAGAACUAUUUUGUUAAUAUUGAAAUUUGUUAAUAUUUUGCCAUCGAGUGAGGCAUAACUAUCUAUGAUGAACAUUGGUUUGUAGGCUUAAAAUAUUUCUCUGGUGUUAUUCCUCAUAUUUUCUAGAAAACAUUUUGAGCUGAAUUCAUGUUAACUAUUUAAAAGUUUUUGAUGUAUUUACAUUUGGAUGUUGAUUUGGUCUGGUAACUGAUGGUCUUUAUUCCCUAAACCUAUGCUGGUUUUUGUUCCAGUUGUUUUAAUGCAGAGCAAUGAUGUCUCCAUGCAUAACAUGGACUUGUUGAUACCUCUUCCCCAUUCUUCCACUUUUGCUUUUUCCUAUUUUGUGACUUGCAGA